CCCUUCUCUCACAUCCAGGAGGCAGCAGGCGCGCAAAUUACCCAAUCCCGAUACGGGGAGGUAGUGACAAUAAAUACUGAUACAGGGCUCUUUUGGGUCUUGUAAUUGGAAUGAGUACAAUUUAAAUCCCUUAACGAGGAACAAUUGGAGGGCAAGUCUGGUGCCAGCAGCCGCGGUAAUUCCAGCUCCAAUAGCGUAUAUUAAAGUUGUUGCAGUUAAAAAGCUCGUAGUUGAAUUUUGGGUUUGGCUGCUCGGUCCACCUAACCGCGUGCACUGAUGCGGCCGGAUCUUUCUUUCUGGCUAACCUCAUGCCCUUCACUGGGUGUGCUGGGGAUCCAGGACAUUUACUUUGAAAAAAUUAGAGUGUUCAAAGCAGGCCUUUGCUCGAAUACAUUAGCAUGGAAUAAUAAAAUAAGACGGGGGUGUCUAUUUUGUUGGUUUCUAGAGCCACCGUAAUGAUUAAUAGGGAUAGUCGGGGGCAUCAGUAUUCAAUUGUCAGAGGUGAAAUUCUUGGAUUUAUUGAAGACUAACUACUGCGAAAGCAUUUGCCAA
rnacentral:rRNA from 1 species